rnacentral:lncRNA from 1 species
CGAUGAACCAAGAACAGCAUCAUAACAGCCAACUCGACCUGUGAUUUCAAUUUAGUUUAAUUUUGUAAAAAUACUUGAAUUGGUUAACUUGUGUAAAACUUUGCGUAAUUUAAGUAUACGGUGCUGUUUCUCCACGCAAGAGUAAGCGUCGACACAAAAUAAUGCAUUUGUGUCCAGUCCUUCCGAAAACACGAACCUACAUCCAGAAAAACGUACAGUAUUUGCAGAGAGAUGCUUUUCCUCAAUCAGCCUCGAAAAGAAUUACCUGCGACCUUCAAUUACACAGAUGCGAGUGGAUCAACUAUAUAGACUCAUCCAGCCUCAACAACUUCAACAACCUAGAUGAGCAGCUUGUUCCAGACUCGCAGAACUCUU